AUCUGUCACUUUCUGUCAAUCAGGUCCCUACAUGGCUGUGCAAAGCACACUACCUUUCCAUUGGUCUUUUCAGGAACGAGAAGCCUUUUUAUCAUGUUGGUCCACUGCCUUUGGAGCAGUUUAUUGGUUUUUAGUAGCUAAUGUUAACUUCAUGAAUAUAAAGUUCACAUCUUUAAAUAAAUCAUUUCCUUAGAGAUAUAGGGAAUAUAUCACAUCCAUGAAAUAUAAAGUUAGUAUGGAAUGGAACCAACUAUAAGAACCCAUGGAAAUUCAAAACUCAGUAGAUGAGAUGAAUAGGAGAAUACAUCAAGUAAAUGAAAAACAGUAAACCAGGAGAUUAGGCUGAAGGAUAUUCCCAGAAUGUAGGACAAGGGAAAGGGGAGGAAAGAAGAGUGAAUUCCCAACGUUCAUUAAAAGAAUCCCAGAAGUUACUACUAGAGAAUAGAUAAGAAAUGAUGUUUCUUUGAAAAACUAGUAAAGAAUUUCUCAGCUCCAAAGACACACACACACAAUAUCCAGGAAAAGAUAAUGGGAUAUGAGAAGUGAUAAUAAGUUAGCAGUGAGAAGCGACAGUAAAAC
rnacentral:lncRNA from 1 species